GUCUACGGCUGUACCACCCUGAACUCUCCCGAUCUCAUCUGAUCUCGGAAGCUAAACAGGGUCGGGCCUGGUUAGUACUUGGAUGGGAGAGAGCCACUAUUUUCUUCUACU
rnacentral:rRNA from 1 species